ACGAAAAUAUGUAUCUAAUUGAAGGCAUUGGUGUCUAAGAUACAGGCCAGGCCUAGUUUAGACACUAAUGUGCUGGGCAUAAUGUUACAUUACAGGAACCACCACCUCCACCCAUCAAACCGAAACACAGCCAUGCAAACACAACUGUUUUACACGAUUGAGAUAGAGGUGCCUAAGCAAAGUACUUUUGUACAAAAUCGCCCUGUGGUUAAUAUCCAUUGCCAAGCUCGCAGCGUUGGUCUUUCACUCCAAUGGUUGUGAGAUCUUAAAUCUACUAUAAUGACUUGACAAUUGUACGGUAACAUAUUCUACUAAUAAAAUUCUUUAUAUGAUAAUCGAAAUAAUAUCUUUUUGAGCGAAUAUUUAGAUGCAUACAGAAUGACAGGUCAGGUCUUAUAAUAGAUUUGUAAAUUUUACCCUUCAGUUUGAGGCCAUUCGGGGGUCGUAUACUGUCCCCGAAACCUGUUGUCAUUUUAGCCAUUCACUACUAACUCUGUGUUUUUUACGAUCUCUAUAAAAUCUUUUUUUUUUUAUAUCUUUUUUAUUUAGAUGCUUUUAUCCUAUAAGGAUAUGUCAGCCUCAUCGUAUCCUAAUUUUAAAAAAUACCUCACAUACUUAAAACAUUAAUACAUAAAUACUAUACAAUCUUAUUAAAUUAUUCCUUUAUAAUUACGAAGUCAUGUAAAGGCCAAAUCAUUUAUUGUAGUAGAUUUAAAAUCUCACAACUUUUUGUAAUGAAAGUACGUUGUGUAGACUUGGUAAUUUUUUACAUUUUAUAUUUUUGAUGGCAUCCAUAUUUUUUCAGGUACGGAAUCCAAAAUCAAUACAUGAAUAUAAAGUCAUAUCAUAAUUAUGUAUGAUUAUGACCCAAUAAUCUAAAUCCAAUGAUUAAUUACGACGUCGGGGGUAUAUGGGAGAGCUUUGAAUCGAAGCGUUUGGUGUUCCAUUGUUUCUGCCAAUCCUAAUGGAAGACAGGCGCGACAGAUAUGUAGUUUGUUAUAGUAGAUACCUAUCAAGUAUUACGAGACACCCUCAACGGCGAUCGGAUCGGAUCACCUAGCGUGACGCAAGAAGGUGCGCUACCGAGAAAGACACCUGCGUCGAGUCAGUAUUUCAAUUCCCGCAGCAAAAAUAUCCAUUUCCUUUAUGUUUGAUUUUAUAUAACUUCACUUACGGAUCACACAUCGAUCUGAAGACACUUAUUAUUGUAAUAAUUAAUUUUAGAAUUAAAUUUAGUUAUAUUUAUAGAAUUGGGUUUUUUUUUGGGUCUUCCGCCAGCGACUUCAAUAACUAGUUUCCUAAUUCACUCCCAUAGCAAUCACCAUAUU